rnacentral:rRNA from 1 species
UACGGAGGGUGCAAGCGUUGUCCGGAUUUAUUGGGUUUAAAGGGUGCGUAGGUGGCCAUGUAAGUCAGUGUUUAAAGUCUGCAGCUUAACUGUAGGAAUGGCAUUGAUACUGUGUGGCUUGAGUAAAGUUGAGGUAGGCGGAAUUGAAGGUGUAGCGGUGAAAUGCAUAGAUAUCUUCAAGAACACCGAUUGCGAAGGCAGCUUACUAAGCUUUAACUGACACUGAGGCACGAAAGCGUGGGGAUCAAACAGG